rnacentral:rRNA from 1 species
CAGUCGCCGCGGUAAUACGUAGGGUGCGAGCGUUAAUCGGAAUUACUGGGCGUAAAGCGUGCGCAGGCGGUUUUGUAAGACAGGCGUGAAAUCCCCGGGCUCAACCUGGGAAUGGCGCUUGUGACUGCAAAGCUAGAGUGCGGCAGAGGGGGAUGGAAUUCCGCGUGUAGCAGUGAAAUGCGUAGAUAUGCGGAGGAACACCGAUGGCGAAGGCAAUCCCCUGGGCCUGCACUGACGCUCAUGCGCGAAAGCGUGGGGAGCGAACAGGAUUAGAUACCCCAGUAGUCCCUGUCUCUUAUAC